GAUGUUGUAGUGUAACGGUUGAGCACGUGAACUUUACACGUUCAAGACCCAAGUUCGACUCUUGGCAACGUCA